GACGAACGCUGGCGGCGUGCUUAACACAUGCAAGUCGAACGGAAAGGCCCUGCUUGCAGGGUACUCGAGUGGCGAACGGGUGAGUAACACGUGGGUGAUCUGCCCUGCACUUCGGGAUAAGCCUGGGAAACUGGGUCUAAUACCGGAUAGGAGCCAUUUUUAGUGUGAUGGUUGGAAAGUUUUUUCGGUGUUGGAUGAGCUCGCGGCCUAUCAGCUUGUUGGUGGGGUAAUGGCCUACCAAGGCGGCGACGGGUAGCCGGCCUGUGAGGGUGGACGGCCACAUUGGGACUGAGAUACGGCCCAGGCGCCGACGGGUGGCAGCAGGGGGGAAGAUUGCUCAAGGGGCGCAAGCCGUAUGCAGCGAGGCCGCGGGGGGUAUGACGGCUUUCGGGUUGUAAACUCCUUUCGCUAGGGACGAAGCUUUUUGUGACGGUACCUAGAGAAGAAGCACCGGCUAACUACGUG
rnacentral:rRNA from 1 species